GCUGUUUGAGCUUGGCUUGCGGCUAUCACCACAAAUCCAAACCCUCGCCGUUUACCUGUUCGUUUGUCUUUCAUUAAACGCACCGCAAAGACCUCGCCAAACUCGGCGAACAGCUCUUUAACGUGCGAUUCAUUGGCUUUAUAGGGCAGAUUGCCCACAUAGAGUGUUUUCGUGGUGGAAGACGCCUCUUCAUCUUCGCUUGAUGAAAGAGUGGGGUGAGUAGAAAGUUUGCAAAUUAAAGCCGUUGCAACCACACCAAUUAGAAAAGCGAAAGAAGAGUGUAGAGUCAAUUGCGAUAAAAUCCCGGCACCAAUAACGGCAAGCAGGGCAAUCCAUAACAUCGAUUUGUCAGAUUUCAUAUUGAAUUACUACGCAUCAGAGAGAAAGAAGAUUCACGGUCUAUCGAUGAAUUAACAAAAUAGACACAGGAAUCUUACGUAUAUGCUUGAUAUUUUUCCAAUCGAAUGGUGUGACCCCCCUCAAAUGUUGAAAUUUUAUUCGAAAAACAUUCCAUUGUUGUCUUUUUGAGCGAACGAUUUUAUUUGUCAAAAAAAAGCUUGUCAUAAAACUCUGUCUCCCUAUAAUGCGCCCUCACUGACACGGCGUGAGAUUCAAAUCACAAAGUGAAAGCAAAAGAGAAGAAAAAGUUAGAAAAUAACGUUUGACACUCAACUGAAUAAGCGUAAUAUACGCAGCCCUAGCGAAUUGAGCUUAAAAGCGAUUUCGAUAGGAAAAGCUCUUUAACAAUAUAAACCAAUCAAUCUGUGUGGGCACUCGUUGAUGAUAAUCAAAAAAGAUU
rnacentral:rRNA from 1 species